GGAAAGGUGUCCGAGAGGUCGAUGGUGUAGAUCUGGAACGUCUAUGUAGUUAAUACCUACCGAGGGUUCGAAUCCCUCCCUUUCCG
rnacentral:tRNA from 1 species